GACAGAGGGGGCAAGCGUUGUCCGGAAUUACUGGGCGUACAGGGCACGCAGGUGGCUGCAUAGGUGGCGUGUGAAAGCCCCGCGCUUAACGCGGGGAGGCCACGCCAAACGGUGCGGCUCGAGCGAUGCAGAGGGUGGUGGAAUUGCCGGUGUAGUGGUGAAAUGCGUAGAGAUCGGCAGGAACACCAAGGACGAAGGUAACCACCUGGGCAUCAGCUGACACUCAUGUGCGACAGCGUGGGGAGCGAACCGG
rnacentral:rRNA from 2 species